GUUAGUCGGCCCAGCCAAUGCGCAUGCGCGAGGCGCUAGCGGAUUCUCCCAUCACAGUGGUUCCCACGGUUGUCUUAGAAACCAGUCUCCGAGGCUUGGCAAAGCAGUUCUCCUUGGCAGUGCUUGGGUGUCGGGACUCCGAGGUUCUGGCCUGACCGCUCCACGGGGUUGACAGGAACGUCUCCAGAUGCCAGGAGUCGCAAAGCGCCGACCAGUAUGACGAGACCACGGGCGGAGUCCAGGGGAAGCAGCAAGGCAUCCCACCCUCAGGCCUGCCCGGACGGUGUUCGUGAGAGGAGUGGACCCACGUCAGAAAUGAGGUUCUAUCUUUUCCCGGGUCUUCUGUGAGCAAUGAAGCCACAUCACAAUAGAGUCUUGAAGAGGAAUCCGGAAAUGGGAGUUGGCAACAAUCCCUGUCACUGGAACGCUGGCCUCUCUGGACAAGCCACAGUUCUGGCCCCCCUCCUCUUAUGCUCAUGGAGGUGGCACGGUGCUGUAUCCUGCCUGAGCUCUGGCCUCUGCUCUGCCUUCCCUCUCGCUCUGUCUCCCCUGUUUCUCAGCCGCCUAGAUGCCUCUUGCUCUGGCUGAAUGUCUUCAACAAAGAUCAUUUCCCUGUCUGUCAGGGAGACACUUCCUGGAGAUCCGUGUCAUGAUUGUGUCUCUCUCCAAACCUGUUUCUGCUUGAUUGGGCAGGUUCGAUGUCCCUGGAGCUCUUGGCUUCCAUGCGUGUCUCAGACAGGGAAGCUACCUUGGUCUCCAUGUUUCACCUCAUGUGUAGGUGGAUUGCCUAGAAGCAACGGUAAGCGACCGUGACUGGCCUUGUCUUCUAGGACAGGCGUGGUGAAACAUGUCCUCUGCAUCUCCUGUCUCAUUCUUGAGGGACAUCCUCUCCUCUGCUCCUGGGUGGACGGACUCCCUGAAUCUUUUGGCCACCUCUUAGAUCCGAGGUGUUCUUUGAUUUUGGUUGGCAUUGAUGGAAAGGUCACUUGUGCCCCCCUUCAGCCGGGCACACGCCUGGACACCAUUGCUUGUUUCGCCAUCGCCCCAUAUGCCCUCAGUGACACACAUCCAUACCAUCUGCUCUGACGCCAGUGCCACACGUGGUCACCUUGGCUCCACCUGGGAAUCGCCUCUGUCCCUGUUUGCACUUGUCCUGGAAAGCGGUAUCAGCUUGCAGGAGCCCCAGGGCUUUUAGAAGCAGGGCGGGCCACUGCUCUUUCAAUGGAGGAGGGAGGCAGACAGCUCAUGGGUCAGUGAAAUUUCAGCUGACACCAUGAUUUGAGGCCCAUGGGAACAUUCUGUGUUGCAGUGAGGCCCUGCCUGCCUUAGCAGAUGUGGUGAUCCCAUCCUUUCUCACCCGGAGGGGUCCAAGAUGUGAUUCAAAGAGGAGUCCUGAGACCCCAGCAGGCGCCCUCGAGCUCUCCCUCCAUCGGUAGAAGUUGGCUCAAGCAGGACCUGAAGACAGGACUCCUGAGGUCACCCGCGGACCUCUCUCCCACGCCGCCCCCUACUGGGUCCUGGAUCCAGCCACCGCGGAGGCUGCAGCAGGAGUCCCCCUGCCACCGCGCAGCUGCCAUUGUUUCAAGGGGACUCCGCCUGACUGCCAGGAGCGGAGCGCGAGUCGGCCUAGCCAAUGCGCAUGCGCGAGGUGCGAGCCGUUUCUCCCAUCACAGUGAUUCCCACGGUUGUCUUAGAAACCAGUCCAGGAGGCUUGGCAAAGCAGGAGCCCUCCGUGGCAGUACUUGGGCGUCGGGACUCCGAGGCUCCGGCCUGACCUCUCCACGGGGUCGACAGGAAAGUCUCUGGAUGCCAAGAGUCGCAAAGGGCCGACCAGGAUGAAGAAACCCCCGGCGGAGUCCGUGGGAAGCACCGCGGCAGCCUAGCCUCAGGCCUGCCCAGACGGUGUUCAGCUCUAACCAUGGAAUACUGGGAAUGUCCCAUUCUAUGAAGGAGGUUUGUCGGCCACAACAGGAAUAUUCAUGAACAUGGAGGGGUUGGGCAUGUUCCAGGAUCUGUCUAUAGACUUCUCUCAGGAGGAAUGGGAGUGCCUGGACACUGCUCAGAAGGACUUACAGAGAGAUGUAAUGAUGGAGAACUAUAGCAGCCUGGUCUCACUAGGUCUCUCUAUCCCUAAGCCUGAUGUGAUUUCCUUACUGGAGCAAGGGAAAGAGUCCUGGAUGGUUUCAAGGGACGUACCAGGAGGAUGGUGCCCAGAGUCUCACUCUGUAGCCCGGGCUGGAGUGCAGUGGCGUGAUCUUGUCUCACUGGAAACCAAUAAGAAACGCUUCGGGAUGACCUCCCUACCAGCACAGGAAAACCAUUCCUGCGCAUUUCUGCGCUGGAACGCCUACCUUUGGUGACAUUUCCUGCACUUUCUUGCAGAUUUGUACCAGGCACUGGAGAACCUCCCACCUGGUCCAUGCCCGGCUCCCGGUGAACACCGAGACCCAACCUUGUGCACAGCCAGUCUUGUCAUCAACAAACAGGCUAGUAAAUUAUAAAAAAUAAAAUAAAGGAAAUGUAGCUGGGCGUGGUGGCAUGCGCCUGUAAUCCCAGCUACUCCGGAGGCUGAUGCAGGAGAAUCGCUUGAACCCAGGAGGUGAAGGUUGCAGUGAGGCGAGAUCGCGCCACUGCACUCCAGCGUGGAUGGCAAGAGCGAAACUCCUUCUCGAAAUAAUAAAUAAAAUAAAGGAAAUGGGGCCGGGCAUGGUGGCUCACGCCUGUAAUUCCAGCACUUUUGGUGGCCGAGGCAGGCGGAUCACUUGAGGUCAGAAGUUCGAGACCAGUCUGGCCAACAUGGUGAAACCCCUUCUCUACUAAAAAUAAACAAUUAGCCAGGCAUGGUGGCGGGCGCCUGUAAUCCCAGCUAUUUGUGAGGCAGAGACACAAGAAUCGCUUGAAUCCCGGAGGCAGAGGUUGCAGUGAGCCGAGCUCGUGCCACUGCGCUCCAGCCUGGGCGACAGAGCAAGACUCCAUCUUAAAAUAAAAUAGGCCGGCCGAGGGUCUCAUGCCUCUAAUCACAGCAUUUUGGAGGCUGAGGCGGGUGGAUUUCCUGAGCUCAGGAGUUCAAGACCAUCCUGGCCUACAUGGUGAAACCCCAUCUCUACUAAAAAUGCAAAAAUUAGCCGGGCAUGGUGGCGCAUGCCUGUAAUCCUAGCUACUUGGGAGGCUGAGGCAGGAGAACCGUUUCAACCCAGGAGGCGGAAGUUGCAGUGAGCCGAGACCGCCACAUUGCACUCCAGCUUGGGCAAGAGGAUUGAAACUCCAUCACAAAAAUAAAUAAAUAAAUAAAUAAAUAAAUAAGAAAUAGACAAAGCAAAUCUUAAUGCAUGAACUCAAACAAAUGCUUUCACUGCCAGGCUCCAUCUUUGCAAAACCGAACCUAGGACAAUGUGAACGUUUCUAACUAGCAAUUCUGGAGGACAGAUCAGGGAGGCGGCGUGAGCUUGCUUUUCUGCAAUUUAAUUGACUGGUCAGUAAAGUCAGUGUUUGCAGGCAUUUUCAAUGUUCUGUAGUGGGCUUCAGUGCCUGUGGCAGGCCGGGUUUCCAAUAGCAACCAGAACAGUUUCUACUAACCCUUUACUAUAAUUUUGAUGAAUGCAUAAGUUAACGUUAAAGAAAUGGAGAAACUGGUGCCUGAGUAUCAGGGAUGGAAUGUGAAAACAAACCCAUUGAGACCCCGUCUGGGUUUUCUCAGACCCUAAAAUCUGAUCGAAUAAUGAUAGCAUUCGUACACAUUCACCUCGGCCUCUCUUAAGAUUCAAAAACUUUCCAAGACUCUAGGGAAAUCUUUCCAGACGCGAAACCCGAGUUAAAGAUUAGAUGUUGAUUGAAUGAAACACUCCUGCUUGUAGGUGCAAUCCCACAGGGAGCUUAAGAUGUAUAUAAGCACUAGAAAAAAAAAACUUGUAACUUUGAGUUGAUCUGGUGAUUUACCUGGCGCUUCUCUCUGUAAGUGGCUGCAGAAAUAAACUUCCUUCUUUCCCAGUCUGUCUGUAUCUUAGUAUUGAACAAUUGCGUUGGAGCUGCCCAGCAAAGUCCUCUUCUAUGUGGUUAUCUGGGACUCCUUUUGGAGGGAACAUUUUAAAUUUUCCAUUUCAAAGCAUUCUGUUGGCCUUCUUACAGUUUUUCUCUGCCUACCCUGGGACCUGAGUUCUCCUGGACGUGAAUCUGCAGCCACAGAGCCUAGAAGCUCAUUCCUCCACAUUCUGUGACUGUUCCCCAAACACAGGGAGAAUUUGCAGAAAAUAAGCCCAAAAAUCUUGCCAUUCUUUGCAAUAAAACCCCACAUUACAAACUGCUGAAAACAGGAUUUUAGCCUGAAUAGAUUUUUCCUCUAUUUGAAAGCCUUUACAAUUUUGGAGAGAAGUUUCCAAAUCAAUCAGUAAGUACCCCCCACCCCAGGUUUAUCCUUAUGUAAAGUGCCCCCUUUGCACAUGCAAGAUUGAAUAAACCUUGAAAAUAUUAUGCUAAGUGAAAGAAGCCGGUCACAAAGGACCACAUGUUAUGUAAUUCCAUUUAAAUGUCCAAAAUAGACCAACACAUAGAAACAGAAAGUAGAUUUGUGGUGGUCCAGGAUUAGGGGAGUUGGGGGGAAAUGGAGGGAUAUGGUGUUUACUUCAGGGUAAUGAAAAUGAUCUAAAAUCUAUUGUGGUGAUGUUUGCAUAACAGUGCAAAUAUACUGAAAACCACUGAAUUUUACACUUUAAAUCAGUGGCUUCUGUGGUAUGUUAUCAAUAUUUCUCAAUAAAACUUCAAAAAAAUAGUG